UACACAGAUCCUUUUCAUUCUACAUACAUCCUACGCAGAUCCUAGAUUUUUUCUCACUCUAAAACCUCUGGAACUGUCCAUCUUCGUCUUCACCCUCAAUUCAUGUCUCUGGAAGUAUCCAUCUUCGUCUUCACCCUUGAGGUUUUUGCUGUCUACAGUGGAUGGAAUUUCAACCCAGAAUAAAGAAUGAGGCCAACAGGGAGAAGGGAUUUCUUGGAGGGUGGUUGCCCUCUCUGCUUGGCCUAUGAUUUCUCCAUCUACCAAAUCAACAA